AAUAUUGGACAAUGGGGGCAAGCCUGAUCCAGCCAAGAUGCGUGAGCGAAGAAGGUAUUCGGAACGUAACGCACUUUAAUUUGAGAGAAAGGGCAGCUACCAAAUACUUAACUGUGUUGCCGUUACCAAAAGAAUAAGCACGGGCUAACUUCGUGCCAGCAGCCGCGGUAAUACGAAGGGUGCAAGCGUUAAUCGGAAUUACUGGGCGUAAAGCGCGCGUAGGUGGUUCGUUAAGUUGGAUGUGAAAGCCCCGGGCUCAACCUGGGAACUGCAUCCAAAACUGGCGAGCUAGAGUACGGUAGAGGGUGGUGGAAUUUCCUGUGUAGCGGUGAAAUGCGUAGAUAUAGGAAGGAACACCAGUGGCGAAGGCGACCACCUGGACUGAUACUGACACUGAGGUGCGAAAGCGUGGGGAGCAAACAGG
rnacentral:rRNA from 1 species